CAUCGUGUGAUUCAGUGGUAGAAUUUCGCCUGUCACGCGGGUGACCCGGUUCGAUUCCGGCCGGAUGC
rnacentral:tRNA from 1 species